rnacentral:lncRNA from 1 species
UUUUGUUUUUGUGUGUUUUUUUUUGUUGUUUUUCUUUUUCUUUUCUUUUUUUUUUUUUUUUAAUUUUAUUUGACAGACAGAGAUCUCAAGUAGGUUUGG